UACAGAGGUCUCAAGCGUUGUUCGGAUUCAUUGGGCGUAAAGGGUGCGUAGGCGGCGCGGUAAGUCGGGUGUGAAAUCUCGGAGCUUAACUCCGAAACUGCAUUCGAUACUGCCGUGCUUGAGGACUGGAGAGGAGACUGGAAUUUACGGUGUAGCGGUGAAAUGCGUAGAUAUCGUAAGGAAGACCAGUGGCGAAGGCGGGUCUCUGGACAGUUCCUGACGUGAGGCACGAAGGUCAGGGGAGCAAACGGGA
rnacentral:rRNA from 1 species